rnacentral:rRNA from 1 species
AUCCGGUGUCUGCGUGGAAGGGCCAUCGCUCAACGGAUAAAAGCUACCCUGGGGAUAACAGGCUUAUCUCCCCCAAGAGUCCACAUCGACGGGGAGGUUUGGCACCUCGAUGUCGGCUCAUCACAUCCUGGGGCUGUAGUAGGGCCCAAGGGUUGGGCUGUUCGCCCAUUAAAGUGGUACGCGAGCUGGGUUCAGAACGUCGUGAGACAGUUCGGUCCCUAUCCGUCGCAGGCGUAGGAAAUUUGAGAAGACCUGUCCUUAGUACGAGAGG